rnacentral:rRNA from 1 species
GAUGCUACUUGGUUGAUCCUGCCGACACUCUUAUGUU